CCUACGGGAGGCAGCAGUAAGGAAUAUUGGUCAAUGGGCGCAAGCCUGAACCAGCCAUGCCGCGUGCAGGAUGACGGCCCUCUGGGUUGUAAACUGCUUUUAUACGGGAAGAACAGCAUCUACGUGUAGGUGUUUGACGGUACUGUAAGAAUAAGGACCGGCUAACUUCGUGCCAGCAGCCGCGGUAAUACGAAGGGUCCAAGCGUUAUCCGGAUUUAUUGGGUUUAAAGGGUGCGUAGGCGGCUUUUUAAGUCAGUGGUGAAAGCCUGAUGCUCAACAUCAGAACUGCCAUUGAUACUGAAGAGCUUGAGUACAGUUGAGGUUGGCGGAAUGUGUCAUGUAGCGGUGAAAUGCUUAGAUAUGACACAGAACACCGAUUGCGAAGGCAGCUAGCUAAGCUGUUACUGACGCUGAUGCACGAAAGCGUGGGGAGCAAACAGGAUUAGAUACCCUGGUAGUCCACGCCCUAAACGUUGAUAACUCGUUGCUAGCGAUAUACUGUUAGCGACCAAGCGAAAGCAUUAAGUUAUCCACCUGGGAAGUACGGUCGCAAGAUUGAAACCUUAAAGGAAAUUGACGGCUGAGAGAGCGAGGACGACGACGAGGGAGGAGG
rnacentral:rRNA from 1 species